AUACAUGCAAGUCGAGCGAACUGAUUAGAAGCUUGCUUCUAUGACGUUAGCGGCGGACGGGUGAGUAACACGUGGGCAACCUGCCUGUAAGACUGGGAUAACUUCGGGAAACCGAAGCUAAUACCGGAUAGGAUCUUCCCCUUCAUGGGGGAUGAUUGAAAGAUGGUUUCGGCUAUCACUUACAGAUGGGCCCGCGGUGCAUUAGCUAGUUGGUGAGGUAACGGCUCACCAAGGCAACGAUGCAUAGCCGACCUGAGAGGGUGAUCGGCCACACUGGGACUGAGACACGGCCCAGACUCCUACGGGAGGCAGCAGUAGGGAAUCUUCCGCAAUGGACGAAAGUCUGACGGAGCAACGCCGCGUGAGUGAUGAAGGCUUUCGGGUCGUAAAACUCUGUUGUUAGGGAAAAACAAGUACGAGAGUAACUGCUCGUACCUUGACGGUACCUAACCAAAAAGCCACGGCUAACUACGUGCCAGCAGCCGCGGUAAUACGUAGGUGGCAAGCGUUAUCCGGAAUUAUUGGGCGUAAAGCGCGCGCAGGCGGUUUCUUAUGUCUGAUGUGAAAGCCCACGGCUCCACCGUGGAGGGUCAUUGGACCUGGUGAACUUGAUUGCAUAAAAGAAAACCGAAUUUCCACGUGUAGCGUUGAAUGCGUAGAGAUGUGGAGGAACACCAGUGGCGAAGGCGGCUUUUUGGUCUGUAACUGACGCUGAGGCGCGAAAGGUGGGGAGCAAACAGGAUUAGUACCCUGGUAGUUCACGCCGUAAACGAUGAGUGGUAAGUGUUAGAGGGUUUCCGCCCUUUAGUGCUGCAGCUAACGCAUUAAGCACUCCGCCUGGGGAGUACGGUCGCAAGACUGAAACUCAAAGGAAUUGACGGGGGCCCGCACAAGCGGUGGAGCAUGUGGUUUAAUUUGAAGCAACGCGAAGAACCUUACCAGGUCUUGACAUCCUCUGACAACUCUAGAGAUAGAGCGUUCCCCUUCGGGGGACAGAGUGACAGGUGGUGCAUGGUUGUCGUCAGCUCGUGUCGUGAGAUGUUGGGUUAAGUCCCGCAACGAGCGCAACCCUUGAUUUUAGUUGCCAGCAUUUAGUUGGGCACUCUAAGGUGACUGCCGGUGACAAACCGGAGGAAGGUGGGGAUGACGUCAAAUCAUCAUGCCCCUUAUGACCUGGGCUACACACGUGCUACAAUGGAUGGUACAAAGGGCUGCAAGACCGCGAGGUCAAGCCAAUCCCAUAAAACCAUUCUCAGUUCGGAUUGUAGGCUGCAACUCGCCUACAUGAAGCUGGAAUCGCUAGUAAUCGCGGAUCAGCAUGCCGCGGUGAAUACGUUCCCGGGCCUUGUACACACCGCCCGUCACACCACGAGAGUUUGUAACACCCGAAGUCGGUGGAGUAACCGUAAGGAGCUAGCCGCCUAA
rnacentral:rRNA from 1 species